GACGGAGGACGCAAGUGUUAUCCGGAAUCACUGGGCGUAAAGCGUCUGUAGGUGGUUUAAUAAGUCAACUGUUAAAUCUUGAGGCUCAACCUCAAAAUCGCAGUCGAAACUAUUAGGCUAGAGUAUAGUAGGGGUAAAGGGAAUUUCCAGUGGAGCGGUGAAAUGCGUAGAGAUUGGAAAGAACACCGAUGGCGAAGGCAGCUUGCUGGGCCAUCCUUGACGCUGAGACGACGAAAGCGGUGGGGAGCGAACAGG
rnacentral:rRNA from 1 species